rnacentral:tRNA from 1 species
GACGGUUUAGUCGAGUGGUAUAAUGCGCCAGAUUUAGGCUUUGGUCCGAAAGGGCUUGGGUUUAAAUCCUACUGUCGUCA